rnacentral:rRNA from 1 species
AGUGAACGCUGGCGGUAGGCCUAACACAUGCAAGUCGAACGGCAGCACAGUAAGAGCUUGCUCUUACGGGUGGCGAGUGGCGGACGUGUGAGGAAUACAUCGGAAUCUCCUUUUUCGUGGGGGAUAACGUAGGGAAACUUACGCUAAUACCGCAUACGACCUACGGGUGAAAGCAGGGGAUCUUCGGACCUUGCGCGAUUGAAUGAGCCGAUGUCGGAUUAGCUAGUUGGCGGGGUAAAGGCCCACCAAGGCGACGAUCCGUAGCUGGUCUGAGAGGCUGAUCGGCCACACUGGAACUGAGACACGGUCCAGACUCCUACGGGAGGCAGCAGUGGGGAAUAUUGGACAAUGGGCGCAAGCCUGAUCCAGCCAUACCACGUGGGUGAAGAAGGCCCUCGGGUUGUAAAGCCCUUUUGUUGGGAAAGAAAAGCAGCAGGUUAAUACCCCGCUGUUCUGACGGUACCCAAAGAAUAAGCACCGGCUAACUUCGUG